GAGGAAGGUAUACAAGGAGAGAAGGUAUACAAGAAGGUAUACAAGGGGAGAAGGUAUACAAGGGGAGAAGGUAUACAAGGAGGAAGGUAUACAAGGGGAGAAGGUAUACAAGGGGAGAAGGUAUACAAGGAGAGAAGGUAUACAAAUCUGUUACAGGGGGAGGGGGGUUUAUUACGGAAGAAAACACAAAUAUAUACCGAAAUAUUUUUAGAUCAGUU